rnacentral:rRNA from 1 species
AAUGACGGUACCCUAAGAGGAAGCCCCGGCUAACUACGUGCCACAGCCGCGGUAAGACGUAGGGGGCGAGCGUUGUCCGGAAUUACUGGGCGUAAAGAGCACGUAGGCGGAGACUUAAGUCAGGUGUGAAAGACCGGGGCUCAACCCCGGGGUGGCACUUGAUACUGGGUCCCUUGAGGGCAGGAGAGGGCAGUAGAAUUCCUGGUGUAGCGGUGAAAUGCGUAGAAAUCAGGAGGAAUACCAGUGGCGAAGGCGACUGCCUGGACUGACCCUGACGCUGAGGUGCGAAAGCGUGGGU